rnacentral:rRNA from 1 species
UACGUAGGGUGCGAGCGUUGUCCGGAAUUAUUGGGCGUAAAGAGCUCGUAGGCGGCUUGUUGCGUCGGAUGUGAAAGCUCGGGGCUUAACUCCGGGUCGGCAUUCGAUACGGGCAGGCUAGAGUGUGGUAGGGGAGAUCGGAAUUCCUGGUGUAGCGGUGAAAUGCGCAGAUAUCAGGAGGAACACCGGUGGCGAGGGCGGAUCUCUGGGCCAAUUACUGACGCUGAGGAGCGAAAGCGUGGGGAGCGAACAGG